CCCAUCAGAACUGUACCAUCCUCGUCCUUGAUACACCUGACUUGGUCAAGAUCACGUGCCUUCCUCUCCCUUACUUUAGCCAACCGGAAUAACUUCUUAGCAAACUGUGCGGCUCGAUUGCGUCCUGCCACGAGUCUGAACGGGCGUUUGAAUGAUAGUUGUCGGAAAUCCUCGUCGGUGGAAUAGGUACCUGUCCAAGAAAACAAAAUACACCCACAAAAGCAAUGGGGGGAAUAAAAGGAAAAGUGCAAGGGUNN
rnacentral:lncRNA from 1 species